AUUGAACGCUGGCGGCAGGCCUAACACAUGCAAGUCGAGCGGAUGAAGGGAGCUUGCUCCUGGAUUCAGCGGCGGACGGGUGAGUAAUGCCUAGGAAUCUGCCUGGUAGUGGGGGAUAACGUCCGGAAACGGGCGCUAAUACCGCAUACGUCCUGAGGGAGAAAGUGGGGGAUCUUCGGACCUCACGCUAUCAGAUGAGCCUAGGUCGGAUUAGCUAGUUGGUGGGGUAAAGGCCUACCAAGGCGACGAUCCGUAACUGGUCUGAGAGGAUGAUCAGUCACACUGGAACUGAGACACGGUCCAGACUCCUACGGGAGGCAGCAGUGGGGAAUAUUGGACAAUGGGCGAAAGCCUGAUCCAGCCAUGCCGCGUGUGUGAAGAAGGUCUUCGGAUUGUAAAGCACUUUUAGUUGGGAGGAAGGGAAGUAAGUUUAUCCCUUGCUGUUUUGACGUUACCAACAGAAUAAGCACCGGCUAACUUCGUG
rnacentral:rRNA from 1 species